AACGAACGUUGGCGGCGUGGAUUAGGCAUGCAAGUCGAGCGAGGACGGCCCCGCAAGGGGUCGAGCCGAGCGGCGAAAGGGGCAGUAAGGCGUGGGUAACCUACCCCGGGGAUGGGGAUAGCCACGGGAAACCGUGGGUAAUACCCGGCGAGAUAGCGGAUGCGCAUGUGUCUGCUAUGAAAUGAAUUUCGCCUCGGGAGGGGCUCACGUGGUAUUAGCUAGUUGGUGGGGUAAUGGCCUACCAAGGCAAAGAUGCCUAGCAGGUGUGAGAGCAUGACCUGCGCCACUGGCACUGAGACACUGGCCAGACACCUACGGGUGGCUGCAGUCGAGGAUCUUCGGCAAUGGGCGCAAGCCUGACCGAGCGACGCCGCGUGCGCGAUGAAGGCCUUCGGGUUGUAAAGCGCUGUCGAGGGGGAGGAAAGCCCGAAAGGGUUUGACCUAUCCCUGGAGGAAGCACGGGCUAAGUUCGUGCCAGCAGCCGCCGUAACAC
rnacentral:rRNA from 1 species